AUGUCUUUUCUAUGCUUGUUUGUCAUUAUCUCUGUAGUAUUUGUUUAGUGCAUACAGCAACCCCUGACUUUCUGAUUAAUUGUCUUGUGCUUCAGCCAACGUUGCUGUGUGUCGGUGGUGUAGCUCUUGACCUGCCUUACCAAUGUGCUGCUGGCUCCCUCCAAGAUCACAAGUUCCCUGACUGAACCCCGGUGCUCUGCUCGUCCCAUCUCUCUUCUCAGGAGAGUCCGAGGCACAAGAUAAAAACGAGGAUAAAAGUGCAGAUAACAGUCGCGCUGCUGUUUUUCCAUUAACCCAGUCCCCAGUGCGUUACCCCAGCUGCAUGCUCCCCAGAUCCCUGCCUG